CAUGAGCCACCUGAAUGGACACAAGC
rnacentral:piRNA from 1 species